rnacentral:rRNA from 1 species
CGAAGCCUGACGGAGCGACACCGCGUGGAGGAUGAAAUUUUUCGGAAUGUAAACUCCUUUUGGCAGGAAUGAAACAAAUGACAGUACCUGCAGAAUAAGCAUCGGCUAACUACGUGCCAGCAGCCGCGGUAAUACGUAGGAUGCAAGCGUUGUUCGGAAUUACUGGGCGUAAAGAGUACGUAGGCGGUAAUGAAAGUCUGAUAUUAAAGACUGGGGCUUAACCUCAGGAGUGUAUCGGAAACUUCAUAACUAGAGGACAGUAGAGGAAAUUGGAAUUCCCAGUGUAGCGGUGAAAUGCGUAGAUAUUGGGAGGAACACCAGUGGCGAAAGCGAAUUUCUGGGCUGUUACUGACGCUGAGGUACGAAAGUGUGGGGAGCAAACAGGAUUAGAUACCCUGGUAGUCCACACGGUAAACGAUGGAUACUAGGUGUAACCGGCUUCGACCCCGGUUGUGCCGCAGCUAACGCAUUAAGUAUCCCGCCUGGGGAGUAUGGCCGCAAGGUUGAAACUCAAAGGAAUUGACGGGGGCCCGCACAAGCGGUGGAGGAUGUGGUUUAAUUCGACGCAACGCGAAGAACCUUACCAAGACUUGACAUCCACAGAAUCUGGUAGAGAUAUCGGAGUGUCCGCAAGGAAACUGUGAGACAGGUGGUGCAUGGCUGUCGUCAGCUCGUGUCGUGAGAUGUUGGGUUAAGUCCCGCAACGAGCGCAACCCUCGAUGCUAGUUACCAUCAUUAAGUUGGGGACUCUAGCGUGACUGCCGGAGCUAAUCCGGAGGAAGGUGAGGACGACGUCAAGUCAUCAUGCCCCUUACGUCUUGGGCUACACACGUCCUACAAUGGUAUAGACAAAGAGCUGCAAGCUAGUGAUGGCAAGCGAAUCUCAUAGACUAUAUCUCAGUUCGGAUUGUAGGCUGCAACUCGCCUACAUGAAGUUGGGAUCGCUAGUAACCGUAGAUCAGCAUGCUACGGUUGAAUAC